GAUGAAGAACGCAGCGAAAUGCGAUAAGUAAUGUGAAUUGCAGAAUUCAGUGAAUCAUCGAAUCUUUGAACGCACAUUGCGCCCGCCAGCACUCUGGCGGGCAUGCCUGUUCGAGCGUCAUUUCAACCAUCAAGCCCCCAGGGGCUUGUGCUGGGGCCCUGCGGCUGCCCGCAGGCCCUGAAAACCAGUGGCGGGCUCGCUAGUCACACCGAGCGCAGUAGCACAUCUCGCUCAGGGCGUGCGGCGGGCUCCUGCCGUGAAACCCCCCACUGUAACCCCAAAGGUUGACCUCGGAUCAGGUAGGAAUACCCGCUGAACUUAAGCACAUCAAUAAGCGGAGGA
rnacentral:misc_RNA from 1 species